rnacentral:rRNA from 1 species
GCGCACGGCGUGCGUAACACGUGGGCAAUCUGCCCUCGGAUGGGUGGAUAACCCCGCGAAAGCGGGGCUAAUAUCCCGCAUGACAUUCCGGAGACUCCGGUCUCUGGACUCAAAGGCCGAGGCCUGUCUGAGUGAUUGAGCCCGCGCCCGAUUAGCUAGUUGGUGAGGUCACGGCUCACCAAGGCCAUGAUCGGUAGCCGGUCUGAGAGGAUGGCCGGCCAGACUGGAACUGAGCCCGGGUCCAAACUUCAAAGGGGAGGCAGCAGUGGGGAAUAUUGCGCAUGGGCGAAAGCCUGACGCAGCGACGCCGCGUGGGGGAUGAAUGCUUCUCGGAGUGUAAACCCGCUUUCGAGUCCGGUACGACAUGACCCGCAGGGGUUUGACCGGUACGGGUAUAAGCAAGGCCCCGGCAUAUCUACGUGCCAG